CUGCAGCCACUGCAGCCGAGUCCGGAUCUCGUUUCCAUGCACCCCCGACGCCCGCCCGACGUGCACUCCUGAUUCCUUUUGGUUCAAAGUCCAAUAUGGCAACUCUCAAGGAUCAGCUGAUUCAUAAUCUUCUAAAGGAAGAACAGGCCCCCCAGAAUAAGAUUACAGUUGUUGGGGUUGGUGCUGUUGGCAUGGCCUGUGCCAUCAGUAUCUUAAUGAAGGACUUGGCAGAUGAACUUGCUCUUGUUGAUGUCAUGGAAGACAAAUUGAAGGGAGAGAUCAUGGACCUUCAAUAUGGCAGCCUUUUCCUUAGGACACCAAAAAUUGUCUCUGGAAAAGUGGCUAUCUUGACCUAUGUAGCUUGGAAGAUAAGUGGCUUUCCCAAAAACCGUGUUAUUGGAAGUGGCUGCAAUCUGGAUUCAGCCUGAUUCCAUUACCUGAUGGGAGAAAGGCUGGGAGUUCACCCACUGAGCUGUCAUGGGUGGGUCCUUGGAGAGCAUGGGGACUCUAGUGUUCCUGUGUGGAGUGCAGUGAAUGUUGCUGGUGUCUCCUUGAAGAAUCUGUACCCAGAUUUAGGCACUGAUACAGACAAGGAACAGUGGAAAGAGGUUCACAAACAGGCUGUUGUUAGUGCUUAUGAAGUGAUCAAACUGAAAGGCUACACAUCCUGGGCCACUGGACUGUCUGUGGCAGAUUUGGCAGAAAGUAUAAUGAAGAAUCUUAGGCGGGUGCAUCCAAUUUCCACCAUGAUUAAGGGUCUUUAUGGCAUAAAGGAUGGUGUCUUCCUUAGUGUUCCUUGCAUCUUGGGCCAGAAAGGUAUCUCAGACCUUGUGAAGGUGACUCUGACUCCUGAGGAAGAGGCCCGAUUGAAGAAGAGUGCAGAUACUCUCUGGGGGAUCCAAAAAGAGCUGUAAUUUUAAAGUCUUCUAAUAUCAUACUACUACACUGUCUAGGCUACACCGGGAUUUUAGUUGGAGCUUGUGCACGCUGUCCUUUUCACUUGAUCUGUGAUUAAAGCAGU